CUGGCUGUAAACGAUGGGUACUAGGCGUCGGGGGUAUCGACCCCCUCGGUGCCGCAGCUAACGCGUUAAGUACCCCGCCUGGGGACUACGGCCGCAAGGUUGAAACUCAAAGGAAUUGACGGGGGCCCGCACAAGCGGUGGAGCAUGUUGCUUAAUUCGAUGCAACGCGAAGAACCUUAUCCAGGCUUUGACAUCCUGCGAAUUUCCUAGAAAUAGGGAAGUGCCUUCGGGAGCGCAGAGACAGGUGG
rnacentral:rRNA from 1 species